GGGGAUGUAGCUCAGCUGGGAGAGCGGCGGCUUUGCAAGCCGUAGGUCGCCGGUUCGAACCCGGUCAUCUCCA
rnacentral:tRNA from 1 species